GAGUUUGAUUAAAACCAAUUUGUGCAUUUUAUAAUCCUAAAAACCGUAUAGAUGCCUCUCUUGUGGCAAGACCUGCACAUUGGGAGACAAAUGAACCCGAAUGAACCCGAAAGUGAACUCUGGAGCUGGAAAUCCCACUGCAGAUUAAUCACACACACACACACACACACACACACACACACACACACACUACAGGGUAUUGUAGGACUAAAGUCCCCCCACCACAAAGUACAUCAAAGAGCAGCUUAUACAGCAGGAAGGUAAGUCUGACUGAUGUAUCGUAUCACCUCAGCUUAUCGAGAGUUUAUAGCCUAUACAUUCAGAGAUGCUAUUGUAUUACGCUCACUUUAUUAGUCCUUACUCCUGAGCUUUUAUUUGGAACUUUAAGCCUGUUGUUUUCAAGGCUAACAAGGCACUUGAUUUAUAAUUAUUUCUCCCUACACAGAACCUUUCCCCUGAAAACCAUUCAACAAUUUUGUACCUUUCAGUCCCAGUAGAGGAGGAGUGGCCUCGCUGCCUCUCAGGUCAGUAAAGGAGGCGUGGCAUCAGUACCUGUCAGUGCCAGUGGAGAGGGUGUGGUCUUUCUGCUUGUCAGACAUGACUCACCAUCUCAUCUCCUCCAUGCUUGUUCAGAGAUUCUACCUGGUUCAUGUAGGAAGAUGUCCCAAAUUCGCUGUCCUCUUUUGAAUGUCUUAAAGAAUCGUCUCCCUGAAGUGGAAAUUUGGAGGAG